GAUGAACGCUGGCGGCGUGCCUAAAACAUGCAAGUCGAGCGAACGGACGAGAAGCUUGCUUCUCUGAUGUUAGCGGCGGACGGGUGAGUAACACGUGGAUAACCUACCUAUAAGACUGGGAUAACUUCGGGAAACCGGAGCUAAUACCGGAUAAUAUUAUGAACCGCAUGGUUCAAAAGUGAAAGACGGUCUUGCUGUCACUUAUAGAUGGAUCCGCGCUGCAUUAGCUAGUUGGUAAGGUAACGGCUUACCAAGGCAACGAUGCAUAGCCGACCUGAGAGGGUGAUCGGCCACACUGGAACUGAGACACGGUCCAGACUCCUACGGGAGGCAGCAGUAGGGAAUCUUCCGCAAUGGGCGAAAGCCUGACGGAGCAACGCCGCGUGAGUGAUGAAGGUCUUCGGAUCGUAAAACUCUGUUAUUAGGGAAGAACAUAUGUGUAAGUAACUGUGCACAUCUUGACGGUACCUAAUCAGAAAGCCACGGCUAACUACGUG
rnacentral:rRNA from 1 species